CGUAGGGUGCAAGCGUUAUCCGGAAUCACUGGGCGUAAAGCGUGCGUAGGCGGAAGUUUAAGUGCAAUGUUAAAUCGUGUGGCUCAACCAUAUCGAUGCAUCGCAUACUGGGCUUCUAGAGGACGGCAGAGGCAAGUGGAAUUGGUAGUGUAGCAGUGAAAUGCGUAGAUAUUACCAGGAACACCAAUGGCGAAGGCAGCUUGCUGGGCCGCCCCUGACGCUGAGGCACGAAAGCGUGGGGAGCGAACAGGAUUAGAUACCCUGGUAGUCCACGCCGUAAACGAUGCAUACUAGACGUAUGGGGUAUCGACCCCCUGUGCGUCGCAGCUAACGCGAUAAGUAUGCCGCCUGGGAAGUACGGCCGCAAGGCUA
rnacentral:rRNA from 1 species